rnacentral:tRNA from 1 species
GCCUGAUGGCUCAGUGGUUGAGCGUCUGACUUCGGCUCAGGUCUUGAUCUCAUGGUUUGUGAGUUCAAGCCCCACUUCAGGCU